CUCGGAGGCAGUCGAAUCUGUGGCUAGCUUCCUAACAGGUACAAAACAGGAGUGGUUUCUCAUUUCUCUGAAACGACAUCAGGCUUGUGUUCUGGAUAAAGUUGCCAAGUGGGCGGGCCUAGGUAUAAAAUAACGAGGCAGAGAUUUGAGGCCAACGUUAGAACCUACUGAGCACUCAGAACAGUGCUACUCCUUCAGACGACUCCAGAGAUGACGCCAGUGUCCAGGGUGGAAGUUCCUUGCAGCAACUGACUGGACGGUCAGUUUGCCACGGAGCGCUCUGUCACUACGCAAACCUGCUGCGCCCCAUCUCCAAUGCUGUUCUGUGGAGGAGCGGAGCAGGAAGAGAGUGGAAGGAAAGCAGCUUCCAGAGUCUGGAAGUUUGGUAUGUGCUAGGCUGAAGGAACAAGCUUCGGAUGUAGACUUGGGCAUGGAGGCUCUAAUAAGUGUCCAUGGUAGACGCCACUCCCUGCCUGUUGUCACAUGAUUUCUGGAAGAAUUGUCUGCUGGGAAAAGGCUCUUGGAUGUCUGUCUGCCUUUCCCCCGCACUUCACCUGCUGUAUCUUUUUAGCCUGAACUGAUCUCACUUGUGCCUGUUUGCUUUUGUGGUUUUAGCAGGAAGUCACCACCAUGAGUGCAAUUAUGUGCUGAUUUCUGUGAAUUCUUCCAGCCAGGCAGUCAUCAGAUUCGGAGCUGCUCCUUUCUCACCGUCCUUUACACUUACAAUCAAGCAGCUGAUAAGUUCCCCUUUAACCCGGUUUUCAGGAGUUUAUUGAACAGGCUUCAGAACAAAGAAUACCAAGGUGAAUAGAGACAAAGGAACUACAGAGAUGUGGAUAACAACAUGUACUGCUCAUGCAGAGAACCUGAACUCCGUUCCCAGCACCCACGUCCCUCACGACCACCUCCACCUCCAUCUUCAAAGUCUCUGUAGAUACCCGUACUCAUGUGCACGUACACAGAGGUCAAAGGGAACUUGCCGGGGAAUGAAGAGCAAUGCCCUGAAUUCCAACUGCCCUUCUACAGAGAAGUGCUUGACUGCCAAGUGGUCUUCCCAGUCAUUGGUGAGGCUCUUAUAGAAUUCACCAUAUUCCUCUUGAGUGAUGUCAUCAGGAUUUCUGGUCCAGAUGGGCUUCAUCUUAUUCAGCUCUUUCUGGUCAAUGUACUUCUCCUUGAUCUUCUUUGUUUGCUUUUUCUUAUCUUUGCCGCUCUCAUCCUCCUCGUCAGAUCCCACAUCCUCAAUCUUAGGCUUCUCCUCAUCCUCCUUAUCUUCCUCCUCUUUCUCCCCCUUCUCUUCCUCUGCCU
ensembl:lncRNA